UGGAGGUGGAGCAAAGCAACGCUUGGAGCACAGUUUGAGCUUGGACUUGUGCUCAGAGGAUUUUGCAGACAACGUGUACGUACGCUGUGACUCGUGUUGUCUUUGUGCUUCACUCUGUGACUUUUGGAUCUCUUCAGUUUGAGCGUGUAGAGGCAUCACCUUUUUUAAUUUUUUUUUCUGUUUUCUUUAACUCUCUCUACUCAAAGACGUGUGUGAGUUUGAGAGCAAUUUCUGCUUCAGUAAAGUUUCAGAGGGGGAAAAGAAGCACAUUUUCGCCAGCAAAUCGCUUGAGGACAAGUCAGGGAAGGAAGACAUGGCGAGCGGGGAAGAAGACAGAGCGACACUGACACAGACUGGAAGAAGCGACAGAGGGGCGAGCUAAGAGAAAGCUGAGAGUCAGGCUUAAAGCAAGGCAAAGCAGGGGGAAAAAAUGGAGGAAAACAAAGAUGAAAGGCUAAUUUUAGGAGUGUUGGAAGAGUGUGAGAGGAUUUGUUCUCCUCAGUCUUGUUUACAGGAAGUUCUUUUAAAGUUCCACAGAUGGCUGCAUUCACAGAAAGGCUUUUAUUGCAUUUUUCCGUACCCCAUAAACUCCCUAUACCUUCAUUUAUGUGUGGGAAAGUAUGAUUGCUGCUGCUGCUUGGCUCAAGGUUGGUCUCAUCUUGAGUUUUUUGUUGAAGUGGAUUGCUCGCUUGCUGCAUGUUGGCUGCAAGAGUCAUUACUUUCUCUAGAAUUAACGUUAGUGUCUGGAUCUGUCUGUGUGUGUGUGAGAGAGAGAGCGCGACAGAGGCAUUCAUACACUUUACUGUACGCGUUUUUUUUUUUUUUAACCAGUAUUUUAAGGUCAGUGCUUCAAACAAGUAAAAGAAGAAAUAAUUUCUUCUUCUCUAACGCCCUGUAACACUUACAGCAAAUACACAACCACUAAAGACUUCAAACAAAUCCAUAUUUGAGCUUUAGUUCAUGAAAAUAAUUUUGCACACAGCUGUGUGAUGUAAUUGUGUAUGUCUGACAUGUCCAAAUAUUUUUAAACACAUGUCAAGCCUGUAUUAAAUCAAGCAUGUGACAUACUUGGGUAAUAUAUAAAACAAUCCUAACUCUAACCCUGUAAACUAAAUUAUUGAUGUAAAUAUAAUAAAAUGACUAAAACAUGUCACUUUGGUCAUUUUUAGUUAUUAUCAUUACAACCAAAACAAUUAAUUAAUAGGUGAUCGAUUAUUGUCAAGAUUCUUUCUAAUAUAUAAUAUAAUAUAAUAUUUUUAAGUCCUUCAUCAGGGACACACAGGUUCCUUUAUAGCACUGUAUAUUGAAUAUUUUAAUCCUUUGCACUGUUGGCCAGUGAAAACAUGCCAUUAGACACUAAGUCACAUUAAGCUUGCUGAACUUUGGAUAUUUUUCCUCUAUUUUGCAUGUGAAUUAAAUAAAUAUUUGAUUAUAAAAACACAAUAUAGAUGGAUCAAUUAUAAAAAUAAUCAUUGGUUGCGCCUCUAAUUAGCAUGCAAUAUCAUUGUACUCUAUAUAUAAGAGGUCUAAAGCCAUGUUGUUUAGUAUUUUCUCUGCUUAUUUUCUCUUCUGCUGAUGUAUAGGGCUUCAUAGUUAAAGGGUCUGUUUGGUCUCAAGCACCCAAAGCAUUCAUUUGUUCUUGCAGUCCAGGCCUCAUCCAAGACUAUGAGUCCACAGAGGGCCCUUUAAAAAGCUGCAAAGGCUUACCGGUACCAUGUUGAGAGGUAAAUAAAGUUAAGGGCUCCUUAAGGGCUGGUUUGCCUCCAGAUUCGCUGGGACGUGGGUCUGUAAGAGAUUUAGUGGGCAAGGAGUUUCUGCAGAAGUGAUUUGGCUCCAGUGGCCAAACCUCAACCAAAUUAUUUUUGUUGAUUUAUUUCACAGGAAAAUGUAAACCAUCCUAAGGUUUGUAAUUAGGCUUAUUUUUAGGCUUUUUCAUUUAGUUUUACACAUAUGUUGACUUUAUCUGGAAAAAUAUAUAAGUUUUAUGUUUGGAAGUUAGGAGGCCGAAAAGCUUCAAGUACCAGCGGAGCUGUUAAACAUGCAUUUCAUUAUGAAAUCAUUAUGUUCCAUUUGGAGUAUAAAUAUCAUGAGAAAGUCUCUCAACUUUUGAUUUAAAUUACUAAUAAUAAGCACGGGGAAGAAAAAAAACCAUUUGUCCUUACAAAACAGAGAAGAUCAAAGAGCAUUUCUGAGCAGUUUAUUCUAUUGAAAUACUCAGUAAUCGCCACAAAAUUAUUGUUUUGUCAAAGAUUGUCAUAUGGUUCAUAUUGAGUGAAAAUGUACAAACUUCUGGGAGAGACAGGACGUAGUAUUAUUCAUGGGCUUCACUGUGAUGACUGAACUGAACUAUGGACAGUCUGUGCCAUGUUACUGUACAUGCACUGUGCUGUUGUUUACAGCAGUGAUUCCCAACCAGAGGUACUUGUGCAGUUGCCAGGUGGCACGUGGAAAGAUUGUGAAGUAGUUCAGUUAAUUUGAUGAAACAGAAAUUAUGAUAUAAUAAUAAAUAAAAUAUAUCCACAUAUUGAGUCAGUUAUAACACUUGAACACAGAGUUGUUUUCAAGAUUGCAUGAAAACGAAGUAGCAGAGAGGUCCCAACUGUCGGUUAAAAGUAACUGACAAACAGAAAAAUUAGAUAAAAGUAAUGUCUAAUGUCUAGUUGAAAUAGCUGAAAUGGUUGGAACAUAGUGGGUGGGGUCAAUUAAGGGGUGCUCUUCUGACAGGGUUGUGGGAAUACAUCAGACAAAGGUUGUGAAGCACUAACCGACAGGACAUGUUUUACCAGAAGAGAAGAAGCACACAAGAGAAGUCUGUUAAAAUUAGGGUCGCUUGCUGCCAUUGUGGCGACGGCUGAUAUGCACAGAAUGGCGAAUAUAAAUUCUUUGCUUAAUUUUACUAGAAAAGUCCUGGAUAGUCCUGUGCAUGCUGAUUAUUACAGGUUUUAGAAAUCAGCCGUGGAAGAGUAGCUAUAGGCUAUCUGGCGUUAAAUCUCUCCUUCUCUGAAGCUCCUCUGUUCAUAUCUGUGUAAAGUUCUCACUGUCUGCUCAUACGUCAUGUCUCCUCACUGUGACUUCCCUCUAUUCCCUCUUCCUGUGUCUGCCUCUCUCUCUGUACUGGCCACUCUCCCUCCUUCCUGUCAUUCUGUCCCCUCUUCACGCCAUGGGCACAAAGCCAAGUUUAAUUCAGCUCGGGAAACCCUCUCAUAGGUUCACGCAAAUGCAGUGCCUCCUUUGUCCAUACUGGCGUGGACAAUGUGGCGCCACCAUAUGAGCCACUUGAAGCUCUUGAGUGAAGUCAUCUUAACAUGUUGACAAGAGAUCAGCUUACCAAGUCCUGAUCCAAACCUAUGAGCAUUAUGAGCAAAGAGGCAAAACUGAUCCAGGCAUCCAGUAGCUGCAGUUUUUUUCAUUGCAGGUUACCAAAUGCCGCAGGUCAAACUAGGAUAAGCCAACCAUGUGCAAGCCCCAGACAGACCCUGACCAAUCAUGUGUACCCUUGGCCUGGUCCCAAAAAAAGUGUCUAGCCAAAAUACAGCACAGCUGAGGCUGUUAAAAUCACGGGAUAAUCACAAGAGAAGGGCCCUAGCUGUUAGCUCUCCACAGAGUGAUAAGGUAAGCUGAGGAGGAGCAGUGCCUGUUUGGCAGUCGGCAAGGGCUCCCAUACAUGAAACAAUCUAUGUGCUGACUGAGUGUGAGGUAACGCAUUCCUAAAUUGAGAUGGCAUCUGCUGGUGUUUGGGUGCCUCGGAAAUGGAUGCGCUUUAAGGCCAGCCAUCGCAGCACACUUUGUUACAAACGUACCUUUUCUACCUGAUAAAAGCGUGGCAGGAGAAGGCAAUUUUCUGCAAACUAUAACUAUAACUGUAAGAACAUGCCAGUACUUGCAGAUAUAGGGAGCAGGCGAGCUUCAGGUGCUGUUGCAAUCUCCAUGUAAUUGAGGCACUUAAGUGAGAAACGUACGGUACAGAGACUGCUGGUGACUGCUAUGAAUUUCCGUAGCUUGUCAAAAAAAAAUGCUCCUAAUUGUCACGAGAUGCCUCCCUUAAAGCUCUAAAGGCUGAUGAAUGACUUGUUAACCGAGCAGUUUUUACUCUUGAUUACACAAAAUUCUGGAGCCCUCAUUACAAUUUGACAACAUCUGUCGUGAGGUGGAGGUUGUAAGACUCUAAUAAAGGCUCAUUAGUCUAUUCUUACAUCUUCCAUAUCUUGUCAUGUGCUGCAAUGGACAGAGAUUGCCUCAGUCUUAGCAUUAAGAAUUAACGACGGAAAAUGAGAGAAAACCGAAAGAAGAAAAGUGUGUGGAGUGAGUGGAGGGCAUUAGUCAUGUACAUACUUCCUGCUGUUAUUGAGUAGCUCAGGCGGUCUGGAGCUUGGCCAGGCCAAUUGUUGCUCAUUUAGCUGUCAGACAGCCAUAGCCGAGAGGCAUGCAGCUUCAGGCGAGGAGUGAACAUUUUUGCAGUUUCAUACUGGUUGAAAUGUAAGACACUGUCACGUGAAUGUGUUCUUGUGACAUGUGAUCGACACUUUGAGGUUAAAAUCAGUAUAUAUAAUUUGGAUUAUUUUUUCUAGCUUUAAAUUGCUCUGUCUCACUUUAGGUGUGUCUGUUUUGGUUUGUUGGUGUUCAGAAAACACUGCAGACGGUAGUACAGGCUCAACAAGCCCGUGUGUGCAGGUUUGUCACACUUGCCAGCAUUUAUGUGGCACAGUGGUACUGCGUUAGUGCACAUCACUAUCCAAAAAUACCACUCUAGGCUGGCGAUUAACAGAGAGAGUGUGAGGGAGAUGGAAACAUUGAUUGAGACAGGCAGACAGCAUCGAGCUAUUACGUUACUGUGACUGGGUGUCAAAGUCGAGCCCAGUAACAGACUAGCUUGAGGCUAUUAUUGUCAGACAGCUGUGAAUCCAGAUAAACGUGACAGAGAACAAGAAAAGUUUGCGAUAGAGUAGAACUUUUGCAGCUCUGAAAACGUUGACGUUAAUAACAAGUUGGUUAUUACUUAUUUCCACCAAAUUAAGCAAACAACCUUUUUCUAAACGUUCCAUUUAGUGUAGUAGAGCCUUUCCAGGGAGCCAAGCUGUAUGGCACCGAACCUUAAUUAGUAUCAUUGGUAUAACACCUGUGUUUACCCUACUAUUUCCUGCCAAAAUGGCUGCUGUGAAAAAAACUAUGAAACCUGUGUUAACAGAUUUUAUGGCCACUUGGGGGCAGUGGAAACAAGCUGUAAACACAAUGCUGACAUAUUACCACAUCCAUUAAGUUGAUACGGUGAACUUGUUAGCCAACAGUUGCCUUUACACACUUACACAUCCAGGAAAAAUAUUCAUUUAGAGGCAUUUUUCUGACCACCUGAAGUCUAAUAUUCACCCUCCCUUUUAGCUCUGUUUGGUCUCCACCAACUCCUGAAGGAAAUAUCUGGCCCUGUAUGUUCACCAGUUAGUCGCUAACUUGGUGUUCAGUGGGUUUUUAGGCCAUUUUUUUCUGAAAAUAGCUGCCAGCUUCAUAGACGGUGUUCUUUCUGCUAUUCAGUUUCUUUAAAGAAAUGUCUAUUUUGUUGCUAAGGUUUGGCACAUUUGUCAGUUUGACUGCAGAUUUAAAAUUCUGUGUUGUGGAUACAUUUCACAUAAAUGAUGACAACUCGGGGCUAUUCAGAGCACCAGCAGUAAAUGCUGAGCUUUCAGUAGACAUUUCCCAAACACCUAACAGUGCCACCCACCUUUGCUCUCCACAAGCAAACUGAUUCAAGUGUUUGAAUCUCAAUUAGCAAUUCUGAAUGUUACAGCUGCAGAAAUAUACAACAUGAGAAUAUCAGUGUCAGAGGGAGAGGAAGGCUGCUGUUUACUCUGGAUUGGUCACUCUACUCAUAUUUUCUGUUUUAGUUUGGGUGUUGAGACGAAUAUUUGCAAAGGCCAUGUGCAUGCCUUUUCUCCUGUUUCUGGGAUGCAAAAUGAGGCAGCAGGAAACGCUGUUCCCCAGUAGUCAAAUCACAUUUUCCCCGCCUCCUCUUGUCCUCUCCUACCUGAAAGAGGAGGCGGUGGUUGUUAUUUUACUUCGAACCAUCAAGCAACAAAGACAAUCUAUGUCAAAGCUUGUUUAAAAGGACAAAGACUUGCGUGCUUAAAUGUGCAUAAUCAUUUGAAUGUCAUACGGAAUAAUGGAGGCCUUUUGCCUAAUUGAUGUUGUUGCUGUGUAGCUUCUCUUCUAUGGUACUUUUUUCUUUUUUCCUCCUGUCUUUACCAGCUCACUCAAGUGCUUCGUGACAGGCCAUUCGUGACCACAUGUAGCUUUAUUCUGUGCUGUGCAAUAAAAAGGGAAAAAUCUCCACUCUGAAAUGUAGCUGAAGAUUAUAUAUAUUAGAUAGAUAUAUAUUAAAUACAAAAAAUAGAUUAGAAAGACUUUUAUACAGACAAACUGCUUCACAUUUAAUAAUUCAGUGGUUUCCUACCUAGAGGUCCAGACCCACACAUGAUUUGUUUAGGCUUUUCCUCUUAUUUUUGUUUUAUUUACUGGAUCAUUUUACUUUUAAACAUUAGUCAAAUACAACUCCCAAAAAAAUAUCACUCUUUGGUUGCUCUCAUCACAACCUUAAUGGUUCAAAUGCAACCUGUGACGAGACAUUGCUUUGUUUUAAAGGGGUCGCGUAAUAAAUGUAUGCGACCACUGAAGUUCUCAAUCGUGAGUUUCAUAAUAAAAAUUACUUUUUAAUGACUAGAAAAAGAGAAUUCUGGAAAUGGUAAUUAAUGCUAGAAAGCUGGAACUGUCGUUCCAAGAAAAACCUUUUGCACCUGUUGUUUGUCUUAAUAGACAAGGACUUGAAAAAACACGUAAAGAGGAAGUUGGGGAGGUUGGAUGGAUCAGCAAAGUGUGUUGCUCUGACAAAGCCUACACAGCUCCGCAACAGAUGUAGACUGUGCAUUAGCUUCAUCGAUCACUCACGCACUAACACUCACUGACACGCCAACGAUUAACGACAGCUUCUAGGUUUAAAAUACCGUUCUGUUUGUCCAGGUGUCCAAUGUCCAGGUUUUCCAAUGAAAGAAAACUCUGCCAACUCUCCUUACAAAGCAUUUGAGAUUUGUGUGCAUGUGUUAACAUUUAAAAGUGUGUGUGUGUGUGUGUAUUGCCAAUAAUUACAUAGUGAUGAGGGAGUAAAUGUGCUCUGCCACGCUGAUGUGUGCUCAGAUAGCCACCUGCGAUCUGCUCUCUUUCUCUCUCUGUCCUCACCUGCAACCUUCUCUCACCACAACAUGCAUCUUUUUUCUUCUCACUUACGAUAUUUCUGCUCGUCAUUCUCUCACUGCCCUCCUCCCUUCCUCCCUCCCUCUACUCCUCCUCCUCCUCCUUGUCUCCGUCUUCCCAAACAGGAUACCGAAUGGUUGGUUUAGCUGGAGGGAUUCCUGGCAGAGUGAUUUGGUUGUGAUGUAAUAUAAAUCACAUUGCCAGGGAUUUCCAACCAGCUACAGCUGAAAACCCACACCAGCCUCCAAACACCUGACAACUGCUCGGCAAACACCCACGUUGGCAGAAGUCACCGCUCUAAAGCCCUUGUAGCAUAAAGUCCGAUUUAUAAUCUCCUCGUGUUUUAAAGAGAGUUAGAUGGGAAGAUCACUAAGCACUCUCAAGCUCAGCGACUAGACUCUAAGUCUCACAAAUAAGCCUGUUAGGUUAUGUAUAUCUUUUGGUCUAUUUCUUGGCCAGGUGCAGUAAGUUACUGAAGUCUUCGCUGGUUACAAUUAGCUUCACAGUGAUGACUGUGUUGGUAGGUGGAUUUUUUUUUUACAGAACCAGGAUGGCGGUUUCCCUCGGUUUCCGGUCUUGCUAAGCUAAGCUAAGCUAACUGGCUGCUCACAGUGGUUUCAUACCUACCAUGUGAACACUGCAAGAGUGGUAUCAAUCUUCUCGUCUAACUCUCGGCAAGAAAAACCAAAUAAGCGUAUUUCCCAAAAUAUUGAACUAUUACUUAAUUGAAAUUACUAAUACUUAUGUCUUCAUUACAUGUUUUGUCCAGAGUUUGCUAGAGGAGCAGGACUUAGCUCGCUCCGUGAACAGUUCAGUGAAAGCCUGUGUUCACAGUGGCUAAGUUCCGCUCCUCACAAGCCUUUCCAGCUUUCAACGCCCACCGUUACAACAGCUCUAACAGUGAAGUCAACAUGGAAUCCAAGGGUUUUAUGAAAUGAUGUGCUACGUCCCACUAUACAGAAUUGUAAGGGGCUUUAUUUCAAGGAGAUGAACAUAGUAAUAUUGGUGGGUUUUUUGGUUUAUCUUCCUGCUCUCAAUAAUGAGGAUGUCUCGCUCUAUACCUGCUGUAGCCUACAAUAGAGAUACUGGUUGUGUAACUGACACACAAUGUUUCCUAGUAAACAAUUAUGGGUAUGGUAAUAAGCAUUAUAAGUACACAAUAGGCUCAAAGGCCUUUAGCAAUGGAUUUUCUUCUCCAACCAACUGUUUUAAGACGGGAAUCCUGAGAAAAAAGCUACAGGAGAAGAGGGCAGAAGGCAGGGAAGGAGAGCUUACUCAUACAGGAAGGAAGUACAGGAAAUGUCCCAUCGGGAAAGCAAGUAGCAAUGUAAUUGUGAUUCCUGAGCUCAUUUACUGUCUGGGUGGUCAUGAAAGCAAAGCACUGAUUGUGUGUGUAUCUACAUGUGUGUGUACUACGUGUAAACAUGCAGUUGCCUGAUGUAUGUAGGGAAACAUUUUUUUUGUAAAUGGUGCUUGCCCACACAGUGCUGCUAACAUUAUCCUUUGUGUGUCAGACUGUUGUGCACUAUAUAGAGGUGGUGACAUACUUUAUUUAUGUUUCUGACAUUUUAUUACCUUUUUGUUUUUAAUGUUUAUACUUAUUUUAUUUUCUUCCCUUCACCAUUUUAUUUGCAACUUAUUUCUGCAUUUAUUUUAUGUCCUCAUUUUGUCAUUGUUUAUAUGCUGUUUGUUGUAUUACUAUCCUUUCAUAAUUUAAUCCUGUGAAGAACUUUCUUAAAUUGAUGUUUUUAAAAGUGCACUACAAAAACUAUUAUUAUAUUCAAAGGUAUCAUGCAAUGAUAACAAUGCUACUGAAAUUGAGUGAAAUGUGUGUAAUUCCAAUGGCAGAAAUAAGGGAAAAUGUAUAAAAUGUAUGGAUUAAAUAGUCUGUUCCCCUAUAUUACAAGAAAUAUAGUGGUACAGUAGCUAUUGUGGGAUCCAGCUUGAAGAUAACCUUGGUUUAAUUUACACAUAGAUAUGGAGAUAGCUUCUCUCCACCCCAAUGUAAUGUAAGUGAAUGGAAUUUCGUACGAUGCUCACAAAAUUGAAAAUAUAAUAAUUUACAGAUGAAUUGCUCUCUAAGGAAGAAAAGUAGAAAAAAAAACUGUUGACCUGGUGGUAUGUGGUCAUGGUCAUUUUUUUCUGAACAGAGAUGUUGCUGUUGAAUUGCUUAAAUGUAAUUUCUCAAUGUAGUAGAGGAGGAAAUUUCAGUAAUGUCUCAAAACCUGGACUCAAAAAACCUAUGGCUUGAUAGCACUAUAGACAUAAAUGAGAAAACUACUAAAUAUGUAUUUGUUGUAUUUACCAUACUAAAUUGUAGGAUAAUAAAAAAAAAAGAUGAAUACAUUUGAGGGAUAUACUCUGUUGAAGUAAUAGAGACUUUGUCCUAAAGUGUCCCGAGUCCCGACUACCUGUUGCAGUAUACCUGUUGUUUGCUGCCCCUUGUGGUGAAAGUGAGGUGGUGCAGGUGCCUGGGCUCAACCUCCUGUGCCUACUGAGCUGAUAACAGUUAGAUCUUAAACAAACACUGGCUCAGUUCAGCAGGAACCGGAGUUAGGCCCUCUAGAAACAGCAUCGGAAUUCGGCUCACCUGGCGCACGCAACAAUCAAGAUGAUAUAUUAGGUACAUUAAUGAUUUGUAGAUCAGUGUUUGCCAUAAUGCUGUAAAUGUAUGUCUGAACUUUUGCAUACGGAGCAGAAUAGCUGGCAUGAAAAUGUUUUUUCCUACUUACUUUUUAACUGCUCUAAAAGGCCAUUUCUUUUUUCCACAAAGCCUCAUCAAGGCCAUUCUCCAAGUACCAGAGCGUAAUCGUCUGUUAAUCAGAGCUGAGGAAGCACAGAACGCACAUAAAUGAAGCCACACAUCCUCUCGGAAUUUAAACCUCUCACUGUAAAGCUCAUGAUGGAGGAAAUCUGCUUCUGUUGGUUUGGUAUUACUAGAAGAUCACAGGAGCAGAGUUUUUCCAGUUGUACUCUCUUCGCACUGCACAAACCUUCCAAGAAGACUCCUCUGGGUGUCAUUAAGUCAUAUGGUGUCUUUCAGUAAUUGUUUGAUAUGCCUUCAUUCAGUUUCUUUUACCAGACUUCUGCUUGAACACGCUUAUUAACUGUGAAUAUUAACUGAUGGUAGAGAAAAGUGAGACAUUGGUUGUUGCAGAUGAGUUAUGUUUAUAAAUAAGUUCUUAAGUACAGUUUCUAACAAGUUAUUUUACAUUUUUUCUAUUCAAUGGUGAAUGGUUUUAUUCUUCCAAUGUCUGUAUUUAUGUGUGUAUUUAUGUUGGUUGCCUUAUUUCUGUUGUGAAGUAAAAUAAAUAAAUAAAGUUACUUACAAUAUAAA